AACUACCGGCGUUUUUCCAUCUUUCAGCUCCCACUCUGCUUUCGGGCGGUCGCAGUGUAAUGUGGUCCUCUAAAAUAUCUUGUUUUUCCUUUGUAACUCCUCUACGACAUGUUAGUCCCACGCUGCAAUUCCAUUUUGUGGUUUAACGGUCAAGUUUGGUGUCGAAAUUUGAAGAAUAUUGUGGCUACAAUGGAAGCUUGGCGAGCAGCCACGUGGACGCACGUGCCAGGAUUGGACAAGCGGUAGGAAAUGGAUGGAUGGAUGCAGCAUUGAAGAUUGGAGGACAUGAUCCAUGCGUUUGGGACCUCACAUAAAUGGUAAGUUGUGAUUUAUUAGAAGUGAAAGUGUAAAAGAUGUCGAGGAUGAAAAGUGUGAAUAGGAAGUGCCGUCUGAUGCGACAACUGACGAGGUUUCUCAAUCACGUAUCUGAGUCGCCAUGGCAACCAUUCUCUUGGCCGCGCUCGCAUGCUUAUUUUCUGAAGUGUCCCGCCUUGUGUUCCUCACAGGUUUGGGGUGAGCUGCUCAAGUUUCCAGAACCUGUUCCAUGGUCCUGAGGUUCUGAGCCAGCUGGGCACAGACUGAGGGUUCAUGAAGAGCUGCCAUCUUCUACAUGUUCAUUGAAAUGCUGCAUGUUUAAGAUUGUCCACUGAGGUGGAACGUGACCAAAGUCUGGGCUUCCCUACAGAAGAAAGGAUGGAUGUCUUCAGGAUCAGUGGACUUAGUCAGGAUGUGGAACUGGUCGGACAUUUGAUGAGAAAAAAUGCUUUUUAAUGUAAAAUGUUUUAAAUGAAAUAAACAACUUAAAAUUUA